GCGUUGAUCACCGGGCCAACGGGAGACAGUGUGGCGUGAUGCUGACGCAGCCCACUGACAAGCCGGCGAGAGGCCCAGGGGAGCCGCUCUGAGCCGAGCAGCCAGAGCCAGGCAGCUUUUCCUGAAGACUCCAGGACUUUAGGCAAUUGACCCCAAUCUCCUUAUUUGUUUCAUCCCAUCUUGAAGGACUGCAAGCAUGGUUUCUUCAGAUGCCCACUUAAGGAAAACUUCUCAACUCUUCUCCUUCUAAGAAUCCCCUGCCUCCAUCCCUAGAGAAUCAUGGCUUCAAAAUAAAAAUAAAACAAAGUUUUGAGCUGACUUUAGUCGAAAUCUCAAAUACUAUAAGACAGAAACUGUACAGUACUGUCUGCAGGUGGACCACAUUGUUGCGGAAAUACGUGAUUCAGGCCAGCCACCUGCCCCUGCUUUCCAGGAUUCUACCACUCAGCUCUGAUCAAGCUAGCAUCCCUCCUCCUGUCACCAGCAAAGCCCAGGAAAAAUUUCCAAGAAUUAAAACUAGAAUCUGGGUAAUAAAA